rnacentral:rRNA from 2 species
CUAUACAUGCAAGUCGAACGAGUUCUGAUUAUUGAAAGGUGCUUGCAUCUUGAUUUAAUUUUGAACGAGUGGCGGACGGGUGAGUAACACGUGGGUAACCUGCCCUUAAGUGGGGGAUAACAUUUGGAAACAGAUGCUAAUACCGCAUAAAUCCAAGAACCGCAUGGUUCUUGGCUGAAAGAUGGCGUAAGCUAUCGCUUUUGGAUGGACCCGCGGCGUAUUAGCUAGUUGGUGAGGUAACGGCUCACCAAGGCAAUGAUACGUAGCCGAACUGAGAGGUUGAUCGGCCACAUUGGGACUGAGACACGGCCCAAACUCCUACGGGAGGCAGCAGUAGGGAAUCUUCCACAAUGGACGCAAGUCUGAUGGAGCAACGCCGCGUGAGUGAAGAAGGCUUUCGGGUCGUAAAACUCUGUUGUUGGAGAAGAAUGGUCGGCAGAGUAACUGUUGUCGGCGUGACGGUAUCCAACCAGAAAGCCACGGCUAACUACGUGCCAGCAGCCGCGGUAAUACGUAGGUGGCAAGCGUUAUCCGGAUUUAUUGGGCGUAAAGCGAGCGCAGGCGGUUUUUUAAGUCUGAUGUGAAAGCCCUCGGCUUAACCGAGGAAGUGCAUCGGAAACUGGGAAACUUGAGUGCAGAAGAGGACAGUGGAACUCCAUGUGUAGCGGUGAAAUGCGUAGAUAUAUGGAAGAACACCAGUGGCGAAGGCGGCUGUCUGGUCUGUAACUGACGCUGAGGCUCGAAAGCAUGGGUAGCGAACAGGAUUAGAUACCCUGGUAGUCCAUGCCGUAAACGAUGAAUGCUAGGUGUUGGAGGGUUUCCGCCCUUCAGUGCCGCAGCUAACGCAUUAAGCAUUCCGCCUGGGGAGUACGACCGCAAGGUUGAAACUCAAAGGAAUUGACGGGGGCCCGCACAAGCGGUGGAGCAUGUGGUUUAAUUCGAAGCAACGCGAAGAACCUUACCAGGUCUUGACAUCUUUUGAUCACCUGAGAGAUCAGGUUUCCCCUUCGGGGGCAAAAUGACAGGUGGUGCAUGGUUGUCGUCAGCUCGUGUCGUGAGAUGUUGGGUUAAGUCCCGCAACGAGCGCAACCCUUAUGACUAGUUGCCAGCAUUUAGUUGGGCACUCUAGUAAGACUGCCGGUGACAAACCGGAGGAAGGUGGGGAUGACGUCAAAUCAUCAUGCCCCUUAUGACCUGGGCUACACACGUGCUACAAUGGAUGGUACAACGAGUUGCGAGACCGCGAGGUCAAGCUAAUCUCUUAAAGCCAUUCUCAGUUCGGACUGUAGGCUGCAACUCGCCUACACGAAGUCGGAAUCGCUAGUAAUCGCGGAUCAGCACGCCGCGGUGAAUACGUUCCCGGGCCUUGUACACACCGCCCGUCACACCAUGAGAGUUUGUAACACCCGAAGCCGGUGGCGUAACCCUUUUAGGGAGCGAGCCGUCUAAGG